GAGCCCGGAUAGCUCAGUCGGUAGAGCAUC
rnacentral:piRNA from 5 species